rnacentral:rRNA from 1 species
GUGGAUUAGAUACCCUGGUAGUCCACGCCGUAAACUUUGGGCACUAGGUGUUGCGGGUAUUGACCCCUGCAGUGCCGAAGCUAACGCAUUAAGUGCCCCGCCUGGGGAGUACGGUCGCAAGACUAAAACUCAAAGGAAUUGACGGGGGCCCGCACAAGCGGUGGAGUAUGUGGUUCAAUUCGACGCAACGCGAAGAACCUUACCUGGGUUUGACAUCCCGAGAAUCCCGCAGAAACGCGGGGGUGCCUCUUCGAGGAACUCGGUGACAGGUGCUGCACGGUCGUCGUCAGCU